GACGAACGCUGGCGGCGUGCUUAACACAUGCCAGUCGAACGGUGAACUCCGCUUGCGGGGGGAUCAGUGGCGAACGGGUGAGUAACACGUGGGCAACCUGCCCUCAGCUCUGGGAUAACUCCAAGAAAUUGGGGCUAAUACCGGAUAUGACCGCUGACCGCAUGGUCUGGUGGUGGAAAGAUUUAUCGGCUGGGGAUGGGCCCGCGGCCUAUCAGCUUGUUGGUGGGGUAGUGGCCUACCAAGGCGACGACGGGUAGCCGGCCUGAGAGGGUGACCGGCCACACUGGGACUGAGACACGGCCCAGACUCCUACGGGAGGCAGCAGUGGGGAAUAUUGCGCAAUGGGCGAAAGCCUGACGCAGCGACGCCGCGUGGGGGAUGACGGCCUUCGGGUUGUAAACCUCUUCAGCAGGGACGAAGCGAAAGUGACGGUACCUGCAGAAGAAGCACCGGCCAACUACGUG
rnacentral:rRNA from 1 species